rnacentral:rRNA from 1 species
CCCCUAGACGUUCUGGGCUGCACGCGCGCUACAAUAAUACGCACAGCGAGUAUCACCGAGCUCGAAAGGGCAAGGUAAACAAUAGAAAAGGUACUGUAAUGGUUAUAGAUCCUUGUAAUUAUUGAUCUUCAACGAGGAAUUCCUAGUAAGUAUGUGUCAUCAUCACGCACUGAUUACGUCCCUGCCCUUUGUACACACCGCCCGUCGCUCCUACCGAUUGAGUGAGCCGAUGAAACUGCCGGAUGUGGACUAUUCAUAGUCUGCAGAAGAUAUUUGGAUCGUAGCGCUUAGAGGAAGGAGAAGUCGUAACA